rnacentral:rRNA from 1 species
CCUACGGGAGGCAGCAGUGGGGGAUAUUGCACAAUGGGCGCAAGCCUGAUGCAGCGACGCCGCGUGAGCGAAGAAGUAUUUCGGUAUGUAAACCUCUGUCAGCAGGGAAGAACGGUCACUGUGCUAAUCAGCAGUGAAUUGACGGUACCUGCAAAGGAAGCACCGGCUAACUCCGUGCCAGCAGCCGCGGUAAUACGGAGGGUGCGAGCGUUAAUCGGAAUUACUGGGCGUAAAGCGCUCGUAGGCGGUAUGUCAAGUCAAGGGUGAAAUCCCCGCGCUCAACGUGGGAACUACCUUUGAAACUGGCAAACUGGAGUGUGUGAGAGGAUAGUGGAAUUCCAGGUGUAGGAGUGAGAUCCGUAGAUAUCUGGAGGAACAUCAGUGGCGAAGGCGACUAUCUGGCACAUAACUGACGCUGAGGAGCGAAAGCGUGGGUAGCAAACAGGAUUAGAUACCCUUGUAGUC